GGAAAUGUAUGAGCAGUACCACAACAAAUACAAUGCCUUAAGAAAGAUCAAGAGACAAAAUAUUACUGAGAAUAAUAAAACGCAGGGGAUAAUGGAGAAGAGCCAGUGGGAUCUGAAACAUAUCCGUCUACGUUCGGGAAGGCUCACCAGGCUGGAUGACUUUGUUGUACAGUAUCAAAUCAGUCACACAGCGCUGCUGAAGGAGUAUGAAGACUCAAAAAGAAUGCUUCAAAGAAAGAAAUUUAGAGUGGACGAAGAAAAAUGGAAGGAAUGUCGCCAAAAAAAGAAGGGGAGAUAUGUAACAGUACUCUGCAAGCCAUUUCCUUUUCAGGAGAUCUUCGAAGACGAGGUUGCUUCCUCUAUGGCCCCGAGUUCCCCUGUGCAGACUGGUAGAGUUGAGGAUGUUACCUUGGAAACUCCAGAAUUUCAGGAGGUCCUGUCUUUGUGGAAGAAAAGAGACACAGAGGUUGUGGUUUCUGUGCUUCCUUCACCAAACCAUGGUACGUCCAUAAUUAUCCGCCACAGUGAUCUGUGAACCCUUCAACCACACCUGUGGCUAACAGGCAAGGUAAUUGAAGGGCUGUUUCAUUGUCUGGCAAAAAAGCAGCAAAAGGGGAUCUACAUUAUGAACCAUUACACAGCAGGCUUGAUUCUCUUUGGUGAUCGGACACAGUUUUCUCUCCAAAGCUUGCGGAACGUAAACUUUGAUCAGUACCAGGCCAUUGUCACGUUUGUUAACAUUAAAAAUGUACACUGGAAGUUUCUGUUCAUCAAUGCAGUGAAUCACACUGUUUAUCUCCUUGAUCCUGCCCCAAGUUCAUCAGAGGAGGAAGACUCUAAACUUGCUGCACGUAAAUUCAGGUAUU